CUCCAGUCCAACAAGAAAAGAAGAAACAUUGGCAUGUGGUACCAAACAACAUGGGUUAGGAUGAAAUAAAUGUAAUUCCAGACACCCCAAAUUAUACAGGACACUCACACGAUAGCUGUAGUGGAGCCUACAUCUUCAUUUUCCAUCACACUGGGUCAAAGAACAUCAGUUUACAUUUCACUUGGUGUAUCUCCAAAGAGGCAUUGACAGGCAACAUGAAACACAAGAAAACAGAGAAGAGUACCACCGCAUAACAAGAAGACACGUUACUGAACCUAAAAAGAAAGAACACCACCAUGUUGACAGGGAGGAACAGAAGGCACUGACAUCCAGCAGUACUGGAGAGCCCUAAGCCAGCUGGUGUGGGGACAGACCAGGUGAGUGAUGGUCGAGCCGGAGUUGGACUCCAUCAGGGAACAUUUGGACUUGGCAAGCACAGGGAGAUUGCAAAGCGCCAGGUGGCAAGGAGAGAAAAGGAAUGUGCUGCUGAUGGAUGUGAGAGGCAGUGCCAGCGGGGCGUCCCCCGCUUCAAGGGGCACUUCUCCUGUCUCACCCAGGGCAGCCUCUCUCCCCAUUUCUUUUGGUUGGAUUCUGAAGGCUUUGAUCCAUUGACACACCACAUCUGCCUGGCCAGAGCGAGACAUGGAGGCCAAAGGGAGCUCCUGCUUGGAAAUAGAGGAUGGGAAAGGUGGUGUCAAGCAAGAGGAACACCCUUGAUAAGCCCAGUGAGCACAAGCGAAAACCAACAAGUCCAUAGGACCUCUGCAAGCAUGGGAACGACCUCAGGGGACAACAGAGCUUGCCAGACAGAGGAAGGAAUAGAUAUUGGCAUCCAUCUACGGGUGUGGGUUCUUGCUGAGUCCACCAAGAGCCUCAGUAGAGUCCUUGCACUGCUCAGCAGGGUCACAACUCUCCAGUGCCACCUUAUGAACACAAGAAAAGGUAAGUAGAGAUUACCUUCUAGUGAGGAUGCAGGAAUCACUCACCCCUUUCCAAGGAUCAGGGCACAUCCCACACUGCAAUCAAGGAGGUCAGGGAAGGCAUCACCAUGUGGUGGGUAAGUCUCCAAUACUAGAAGGAAAGAAGAAACCUUCAAAUCAGGUACUGAACCACAUGGGUUACACAGAAAAACAGAUGUCAAGCUAGAAACCCCAAGUCAUACGACACACUCACUGCAAGCCUGUUUUGGAGUUUACCACUUGAUUUUCCAUCUCACUUGGUCAAACCUUACCAGAAAUCAUUUGGUUUAUUGCAGACCCAGGAUGGAUCAAUAAGCAGCCCGGAAAAAAAAUAAAAAAUAAAAAAACUAAGGCAAACAUCACAUAACAACAGGAAAACAUACUGAACCUGGAUAUAAGAGAACAAACCCAUGUUCUCUGGGAUAAGCAGAAGGCACGGAGAUCCCACCAGAACUGGGGAGCCCUAAAGAUGGCCAAAGGAAGAACACCCGGUGACAGCAAGGUGAGCACAAGCGACAACCAACACCAAGCCCGUAGGACCUCUGCAAGCGUGGGAACGACCUCACAGGUCAGCAGAGCUUGCCAGACAGAGGAAGGAGUGCAUCUUGGCAUCCAUCUCUGGCUGUGGGUUCCUGCGGCGUCCACCAAAUGCCUCCAUAGAGUCCUUGCAGCGCCCCGGACAACUGCACUUCUCCCCUGCAACCUGCUCCACACAGCACAAGGCAAGUAGAGAUUACCUUCUGGUCAGGAUGAAGGAAUCACUUACCCCUUAUCCAGUGCUGAGGUCACAUCCAACUCUGCAAACUGGGGAGAGAAGAACAGGCAACGCCAUCUGACGGCAGAGUCUUCUAUCCUAGAAUCAAAGUUAAAACCCUCAAUAGCACUACUGAACAACACGGGUUAGGGAG
ensembl:lncRNA